GUGCCAAUGCCCCAGGGUAAGAAAAAAAAUUACCACUAAUUAGAUACAUGUUGACCAUGUAUUCCUACCAGAUUAUGUAUGUCUCCUUAGCAGUGCAGUACCAUGAAUUUGGAGUUGACUUCGCCCCUAAUUUCAUGCAUAGUCGCAUUUAGUAGCUUGGACAGAAGAUGAACUCCCUUACCUAGGAUUAGACAAGAUUUGGAAAUAUGUAUGUGUAGUCUUACAAUGGGUUGUAGGCUUAGUACGGUAGUGCUAUGUUUCUGUCUAGAUUUUUGACUUGUACAAUUAGUUGCAUGUUUCUUAUAUGCUUAGAAUUAGUUGGUUAGUGUACUUGGCCUCAUUUGUCUGUAGUUCUUGUAACGAAGCUAUGAUAUAUUGUCUUUGAUAUUUAGUAGAUGGAUCAUUUAGGGCUUUAUGUUUCAUAGCGGGAGGAUCGAAGAUAUUAGGGAGUUUUCCCCGCCAAAAAAAAGAUACUAGGGAGUUUUAGAAUACGAAGAAAGUGGUUGAGUUGUUUGAAAGUAUGCUUAGUUUUAGUGAGCUUGUAUGUUGUGCAAGGGAGAAGUUUGAUAAUAAGGUCACAUUAUGAGGAUAAUUUGAUUAUGGGAAGGAUAGUGCACAUUGGGCGUGUUUGGUUCUUAAUAACUUAGAAAAAGGUGUCUUGCCAAAAAGCUUCUAGGGCC
rnacentral:lncRNA from 1 species